AUGUUUCAAAUUGCUGUUUCAGGAAAUAUGGAUGCAACAAGAACACCAUGUUCUAAUACAUCUACAGAUUUUGAGAAUGUACAAACACCAAGGAAUGAACUUUCACCAGCAACAGUUGCUAGUAGGAUGUCAGAAACAGCGGUUGCAUUCCGUUUGUUUCAGCGAGAAGAUAUCCUUAACUUAAAUGCAAGAGCACUAGAAGCAGAGUUCACGGACUCACCGAUUGAUAAAAUUAAAGUAAGCAACGGUCAAUUGGCAAGUAAUCAUGUGCUUGUCGGUACUACAAUGCUUCAAAAAUCAUCAGCCAUGCUAGCUAUAUUCUCAAAUUGGGUACUACACAGCAAGCAAGACAAAAAUGAAGUGUGCUGGAUAAUAAAUUAUGAACCAAGGUACAUAGAGGUCACAGGGAAUGAAUUGAAGGAUACACUCAUACUAUUCAAACCAUUUAGCUAUGAAGUAUUUGAUUUAUGUAUCAGGAGAUCAGUUCAACUAGAAAUGUUGAUUUAUGGCACAUCAAAGAAGCAAAGGUGUAGGCAUAUAAUGGAGUCCGACUUUGCUGUAAGUUUCCUAAAAUAA
rnacentral:rRNA from 1 species